GGCGGGAGAUGCAAGUAACAAGGAAGUAAGGUCGGCUUGUUUUGCAAUCUUGAUUCGUGAGCAAAGUUAGAAACGCAGAGUCCUGGAAAGUAACAGAAAUUCUCCUAAUAAUGGAUAACGAUGUCCCCGUUCAGACAAAAGACUGGAAGAACACUAAAGUCGCCGUUGCGAACUUUCGACGACUUCUACUUUGCUCCAAAUGCUCAAACUUAAUGAAGGAACCUGUGUGUUUAGGAAUGUGUGAGCAUAUGCUGUGCAGGUCUUGUGCUGGCCUCCGGGCAGGAGAUGGCUGUGUGGUGUGUCACAGCCCUGCAUGGGUGAAGGACAUCCAAAUCAACAGGCAACUGAGCAGCAUCAUACAGCUCUUCAGCAGUUUGGAAUCACUGCUCAAUCCCAUAGAACAACCAGACUCCACUGUUGAGAUUCAGACACAACCCGGGAGCCCUGUUUUAAAACAGAAGAAGAACUUCAAGAUCUGGUUCAGCCCCCGCAGCCGCAAGGUACGCUGCACAGUGGAGAAGCCCUCAGAGGUCUCUGUGCCGGACAGCAGGUCUCCUGGAGAAACCGUUGCAGCACAGUCAGACAUUAUUGCUCAAUGCCAAGACCUGUCAGUUUUCAAUUUCACCUCGUCCUCCCAAGACUCUGGCUCUUCUUCUCAAAGAUGCAGCAAUGAAAACAGAAACAGGAAGAAGAGGUCACCUAAGAAAAAUGCUGCUAGCAGGAAGACAUUGGUGCAGGGAGCCACCAGGACCACACAAAAGCAGACCAAGGAGAAGAUGAAAAAGAAGAGGCUGGACGACAUAAAUCAGAAAUGGGGGCUCAUUGAGGUGGAUGCCUUAAAGGAAAAGGAGGAGCAGCCCUUUGCUGAAGGCGCAGGGAAGUCCAGUAAAAGGGUUUCCUUCCUAAGCCCUGCUGUCACCUCUGAUGAGCCUCAGUCUGAAGUGCCACAGGGGAGUACUAAUAAACUCAGCCCUGGCAGGAGCACCAUGAGGGAGAGCCUCUCAGGAGGCAGCAUGGCAGAAAAGAAUUACAAAGCCUCAGCUAGUCAAAGCAUAUCAGACAGUGUCAUCCAGCAAAACACGCUGUCUGCAAAUGACCUCAACCCGACUGAUGAUCCUGAAAAACAGGACAAUAUUUCUCCCCUAAAGCAUUCCUCGAAAAGACCCAGAGUGGUGGAGAAAGUCGGCACCUUGGAGACCACACCAAAAAGGCCCAGGGCUUCCCCUGGCCGACAGAGAAAAUCGCUGGGUCAGAUGUCGCCAGUUGUCCUCAACCCUCCACUUUUGACUAGCCCCAGGUGUGAAAAGAGCACCAAAAUCUCCAGAGAAGAGCAUGGAGACAGCCAAUCUGUUUUAGCCAGCGUUGGUAGGAAAUCUCCCCGUACUCAUGGUGCACCUGUUGGACGGCCCAGUUCAGGAAGCCCUGCAGUUACAAAGAGGAACCACAAGGGAGAGACCCUGCUGCAUCUAGCUGCUAUAAAGGGAGAUGUAGAGGCUGUCAAGGAACUGCUGGACCAGGGGGCUGACCCUAACCUGAAAGAUAAUGCUGGGUGGACACCUCUGCACGAAGCAUGUAACCUGGGUCACAUGGCAGUUGUGGAGGUGUUGGUUUCAAGGGGAGCCCUACUGAACACACCUGGCUAUGAAAACGACUCCCCACUCCAUGAUGCAGUGAGGAAUGGACAUUCAGCCAUUGUCAAAUUGCUGUUGCAACUUGGUGCCUCACAGAACGUACUUAAUCUGUAUGGAAAGCGGCCUGCAGAUUAUGCAGUGAGUCUGGAGAUGCUGGAGAUUUUCCAGGAAGCCUCAGAAGGAACCCAAUAUGCUAAUACAUCUUUUAGUCCCUCAACCAGUCUCUCUAUGGUGAGUGACUUCGUGAGGAAGGAUGAAAUGAUGGUGUUUCUGCCCAGCAAGCUGUCUCCGCCAGCACAGCUUCAACUGACCAAACUGGGACAGCUACUUGGAGGCAGGGUGGCUGACACCUUCUCCGGCUCAGUGAGCCAUGUCGUGGUGCCAGAAGGACACAUGCCCACCACCUACUCCACCCUCCUGGGUCUCCUUGCUGGCUGCUGGGUUGUCAGAUACAGCUGGGUGGAGGCAUGUUUGCAGGCAGGCAAGUGGAUGCCUGAAACUGAGCAUGAAGCAGGAGAAGGCCCCCAGCGCAGUCGCAUCAACAGAUGUAGCUUGCUCCCACCACUCUUCGAUGGCUGUUUCUUCUUCCUCCUGGGCUCCUUUAAGACGCCGACCAAAGAUGAACUCACCAAGCUGCUCCGGGAAGGAGGAGGUCAGCUCCUGAGCCGACAGCCCAAACCUGACAGCGAUGUGACACAAACUCUGAACGCUGCUGCCUACCACGCCCUGCCAGGCUCCGACCAGGCCCUCUGCACCCAAUACAUCAUCUUUGACCCACAGGGCCCUCACAAGCCGACAGUGGUCAGACGAGGCAAGCCAGAAGCAUCUGCGGAGAGGUGAGGGUCCAGGCAGAAAGAUGCGGGAGAGAGACUUUCAGCACAGGAAAGACAGACAGCACAAAAUCAUGAAUUUGAGAGAGAUCUGCCACUAUUACCAUCAUGAAAAGGGAUGAGCCUGUGAAAACCAUCAGAUAGUAGGACACCUUCCCAUAUGUUAGUUGACUGCAAAAGAGAUAGUCAUGUGAUGGUGUGAAAAUUUAUGCCUAUGUCCAUUCUUAAGAAACAUCCCGAAGCCUCCCCACAUGUGCAGGAGCACCAGUGAAACCCUUGGGUGCCAGUCCUGUAUAUUAGCCAAUCAGUGAUCCACUGCAUUUGGAAAUGGGUGGGACUAAAGCGAAGGAGACAAUGCAGGGAAACGAGGGAAACAAGUGAAACACGAAGCGAAUUAGAGCACCGUUCGUAAGUGUAGUAAAGACUGUCAAAUCACGGUUAGUUACAAGUAUUAAGUUUUGCAUUAUGUUGUAACACCGUAAACGGUAAACGUUUUGAUAUGUUAUUGAUAUGAUAUUUCAACUUAAUUGACACGAACGGUGUAACCACUUCAUCCACUGUUGUUAGUUAGCUGUGGCCCUCACUAGCUAGGAGGAUGAGAGACUGCGUGGGAAACACAUCUUCUACCGAAUUUCUAGCCAUGCACACUAUAGUGAAGUGGGGAUGCUCAGAAGCCUGCCUUCUUCAGAUUGAGCCAUUGGACAUGUUUCUUCACCACACUGACUGGAUAUUGCUGGAUUGUUGGCUAGUAGCUCUCAGGAACAAGGAUUAUCCACCUGGAGCAGUUGGCUGUCACUCUGGCUGCACUGCAAAUCCAAGGGGAAGCCCAGGGGAAUGCUGUGGCCCCCACAUCUCUUUACACCGUACAGUAUCAGCUUAAGCAAGGACAAGACCCAUCAAUAUUAGUCUGUCAUCUUAUCUGAUAGAGACAAGCCCAGUGCUGAAUCACCAAGCUCAGAACGGGCUACACUCCCUUUCCUCUAUGAAUAUGAAUGGCCACUACACUCCCCAACUCCUAAAAACUUCUCUUCUAUUUUGCAGUAUGUAAAAGUUGUAUCGGUUAACAUGCAGAAGAGGAGUAGGUUUACCAUGACAUCAAUUAGUACUAAAUACUCAUAGUAUAAUAUAGAUAUGAAACAGUGGACCAGGAAUCCUAAGAAUUCUGACCUUAUGGUAGCAAGAUACUUAGAUCUUUCAUAGCAAUACACAGCAAUGAAUAACUGACAAAUGUAACAGUGCUAUAAUGCUGCCUACACCAAGGUUUGCAACAUUGAUGUGGGCUGUUGUGUUACAUCUGUUGGAUAUCAAAAGGUCUACUGGGCAGAGUACAGUCCAACAUAAUACUGAUACACUCAUCUUUGACCCUCAUUAUCUCUGCAUUCGGAAAGAAGAGGAGUAACAAAAUGCAACUGAUGUAAUGUGUGGUAAAGUACAGCUGUGGGUGAUAAUACAAUUCCUGUGCAAGAGUAAUGAGUUGUAUUUUUGCUUUCAGCUAGCACCCCCAAUGUUCACCUUCCAUGAUUAAAAUCUCUCUAUCUCCAACUUUUCACCCUCUUUAAGUUAUGUGUCUCUCCCAGCAGGGCGAUGGAGGAGUUGCCCUGAACACAUAACUUUGUUAAACUCAAGCCUUCACCCCCCCACCCCCACCCCUAUCAUCCAUCUUCUCUCUCAUUAAGCACUAUUAAUUGUCCGCACAUGUACCAUGAGGCAUUGUUUAUUAAUUCACAUCCUAUGCCCAUUAGGUCCCAUCAAGCAUCUCUAGACAAAUGGCCACCCAUUAGACAGCUCAGUCUUCUAAUGAGAGACGGUUGCAUGUAUGUGUUUGUAAAACUCACAUUUUUCAUUUCUCCAUCCUCAGCAUUAGAGUUACUGUGAAGAUUUGCCAUCUGCAAUUUAAAACUCUAAUAUGGGUACAGUUAGUAAUGAACUUUAUUUAUAUAGUGCCUUUUGUACACAGAAUGCAGUGAUUAAUUUAAAGGUAAAGUGAAAAAAAGGUCCACUGUAUAAAUAUUAAAUGGAUAGUCCAGAUUGUUUUGAUAUAAGAUGGUGUUAGGUAUUCAUCAAUAUGGAUGUUAGCUGAAGCUGUGAGUCCUGAAAGUCAUAGAUAGCUACUCGAGAAAAAGAGGGUAACUUGUUAAAUGCAAAUCAAGGCUACACGUAAAUUGCUUAUGUAUUGCUUGUUGGCCUUGAAUUACCCCGAACUAUUUGCAUAGCAUAUAACAAAAGGUGUUAUUGCAAACAGUACAGUGUACUGAAACUGUGGUGUGUAGUGUGAUUCUUUCUAGUAGAAACAAUGUGGAACUUAAGUCUGUUUCUACCAUACUCUGCACAACACAUGGUGGCUUAUGAUGAAAUAUAUUUGAAAACGUGUCAGAGAGAGGACACUGCAUUCAAGAUCUUAAUGUCACGAUCAAAACUGUCUUGCUCCUUUUAUUAAUGUCCAUUAUUGGGUCUUUUCACAUUAUUGUGUUUAACUUCAAUGUUCAAACCGUGAGAGCUAAAAGCCUGCUUCAUUUGAAAGCACUGAUAAUAAAUAUAUAUGGCAUGUG